CAGCCACACUCCUCAACGUGAAA
rnacentral:siRNA from 1 species